rnacentral:ncRNA from 2 species
CCACAGGGUAGAACCACGGAC